UACGAAGGGGGCUAGCGUUGCUCGGAAUCACUGGGCGUAAAGGGUGCGUAGGCGGGGCUUUAAGUCAGGGGUGAAAUCCUGGAGCUCAACUCCAGAACUGCCUUUGAUACUGAGGAUCUUGAGUUCGGGAGAGGUGAGUGGAACUGCGAGUGUAGAGGUGAAAUUCGCAGAUAUUCGCAAGAACACCAGUGGCGAAGGCGGCUCACUGGCCCGAUACUGACGCUGAGGCACGAAAGCGUGGGGAGCAAACAGG
rnacentral:rRNA from 1 species